rnacentral:rRNA from 1 species
UUGCACAGGUGCUGCAUGGCUGUCGUCAGCUCGUGUCGUGAGAUGUUCGUUAAGUCCGCUAACGAGCGCAACCCUCGCUGUGUGUUACAAGUGUCACACGGUACUGCCGGUCUUAAGCCGGAGGAAGGUGGGGAUGACGUCAAGUCAGCAUGGCCUUUAUGUCCUGGGCUACACACACGCUACAAUGGCCAACACAAUAGGUUGCUAAGCCGCGAGGUGGAGCCAAUCCUCAAAGUUGGUCUCAGUUCAGAUUGCAGGCUGCAACCCGCCUGCAUGAAGAUGGAGUUGCUAGUAACCGCAGGUCAGCUAUACUGCGGUGAAUACGUUCCCGGGGCUU